rnacentral:tRNA from 3 species
GCGGGAGUGGCGAAAUAGGUAGACGCACCAGAUUUAGGUUCUGGCGCCGUAAGGUGUGCGAGUUCAAAUCUCGCCUCCCGUA